GACGACCGCUGGCGGCGUGCUUAACACAUGCAAGUCGAACGGAAAGGCCCUGCUUUUGUGGGGUGCUCGAGUGGCGAACGGGUGAGUAACACGUGAGUAACCUGCCCUUGACUUUGGGAUAACUUCAGGAAACUGGGGCUAAUACCGGAUAGGAGAUCCUGCUGCAUGGUGGGGGUUGGAAAGUUACGGCGGUUGGGGAUGGGCUCGCGGCUUAUCAGCUUGUUGGUGGGGUAGGGGCUUACCAAGGCUUUGACGGGUAGCCGGCCUUAGAGGGUGACCGGCCACAUUGGGACUGAGAUACGGCCCAGACUCCUACGGGAGGCAGCAGUGUGGAAUAUUGCACAAUGGGCGGAAGCCUGAUGCAGCAACGCCGCGUGCGGGAUGACGGCCUUCGGGUUGUAAACCGCUUUCGCCUGUGACGAAGCGUGAGUGACGGUAAUGGGUAAAGAAGCACCGGCUAACUACGUG
rnacentral:rRNA from 1 species